ensembl:lncRNA
CUGCCUGUAGGGAACAAGGCCUGCUUGGAGGGUGUCGGCCUCUGUCAGCACACGGGCUCCCCAGCAGUGCGUGCCCACCCCCGGGCUGGGGUCGGGCUGCUCUGUCACACCAUAUGCUGAACAGAACCCGAGCCCCAAGCCCAGCAGCACUUGCAGACCCCUGAAAAAUACCAUUGUAUCCACACAGCCACUGAGCGGUUGACCACAACUCUGGCUGUGACCAUCCAUCCAAUUCGACAUACAUUCAGGUAGACGGAAAGUGCCAUCCUCUCACCAUCUACCCUCCAGGGUAGAUCCAUCAGCUCCUUUUGGCCUUCCAGCACACCACACAGAUGAAAUCUCACCGUGACCUUUCAAGUCACAUGCCUGAUGCUGACCUUGCAGGCAAUCAGCUUCCCAGGCAGAAGGGAUCUCUCAAUCCACCUGCCAAGCGGGUGCCUUCUGCUGGCUUACCAGACACACGGGGAUGGCCAUGAGCUGCAUUCCUAAAGGUACAGAGCUCAGCCCGGAAUUAAAGGCUGUCGUAUUGGCUACUACAGAAAGAAUGUCUUCCAAGGCCCUUUGCCAGCCUUGUUCCUGCUGCAGGUCUGUCACUUCCAGAGACAGAAAUAACCUCUCAAACAGCAUCUCAGCCACAUGUUUGGUACAAUGUGGUGAGUUCUGCUUGCACAAGUGACCUCACAGCAAAGUAUCCAUGCGUAUACUCAUCUAUAACGUAGCAGAACUUCCCCUCUGGUUGAGGAGGGGAUGGUCCAGAAGAGUCUGGGUGGGAUCAGUGUGGGAUCAGCACAAAUCCAUGGGUCCCGAUGGGAUGCAUCCACGUGUGCUGAGGGAGCUGGCAGAGGUGACUGCUGAACUGCUCUCUGUCGUCUUCGAUAGGCCCUGGAAAACAGGAGAGGUGCCUGAAGACUGGAGGAUAGCCAGUGUCCCUCUGGUGUUCAGAAAGGGCAAGGAGGAGGGUCUGGGAAACUACAGGCCAGUCAGUCUCACCUCUGUCCCUGGGAAGGUGAUGGAACAGCUGAUUCUGGAUGCCAUCUCCAAGCAAUUGGAAGAGAAGAAGGAUAUGAGGAGUGGUCAGCGUGGGUUCACCAAGAGGAAAUAGCGCUCGGCCAACCUGGUGGCCUUCUGUGAUGGCAUCACAGGUUGGGUGGAUGGGGGUGAGAUCAGGAGCUCAGGUGGGUCUGGGGUUUGAACACAUAGGGGUUAAAUAAGCUAGCUUUAGAAACCAGGGAAGGAGAACGACAUCUCAACAUUUCAUGGUCAGCUGUGCAAACACAAAGAAAGGAAACGAUGCAAAAGGAAUGGCUUUGACUGGUUUGAAUGCACCGUAAGAAGGUCAGACCGAGGAAGACGUGGAGCCUUCGCGAGGAACACUUCUGACUUCAUCCCCACGACCACCAGAGGGAGACCCCUCUUAAGGACAGCGCGUGCGCCGGGGGAGGGGCAGUAUGUAAAUGAAUUUCCGGAAGGAUAAUGAAUAUGUAGAUGACUUCCAAGAAUUCUGCUGAAUAUGUAUGGCUUUGGCUUACAAAUCCAUAGCGCUUUUUGCUCGCUGGUGUGCAAGUUUGGUGGAGUGAUCCCCCUUGCACCCAGCCGGCCAAAUAAACAUACCUGCUUUAUAACCUAACCGGGGUAUAGAGUUUGAUUCCACACAUCACUGCCAUUCCUGAGUGGUUGGCACUCCGUUUUCUAACUGCUGUUCCCGUGCUGCUUCCGAGGGAGCGUUUCCCAUUGAGCCCACCUACUUCUUCCCCUUUUUUCACCGUCAGCUUCAUCGCUGAGCCCUCUGACUGCCUUUCAUUCACUUUCCCCCAGUUUGGAAGAUUCCCAUUGCUUAUUAGGCCACAGCGAGACACGUUUAUAAAACACAAAUGUGGAACCCG